rnacentral:rRNA from 1 species
UGGGGAAUUUUGCGCAAUGGGCGAGAGCCUGACGCAGCAACGCCGCGUGGAGGAUGAAGGUCUUUGGAUUGUAAACUCCUGUCAGCGGGGAAAAAGGGAUUCGGCCUAAUACGCCGGAAACUUGAUUGUACCCGCAGAGGAAGCCCCGGCUAACUCUGUGCCAGCAGCCGCGGUAAUACAGAGGGGGCGAGCGUUAUUCGGAAUUAUUGGGCGUAAAGGGCGCGUAGGCGGCUUUUCAAGUGACGGGUGAAAUCCCUCGGCUUAACCGAGGAACUGCCUGUCAGACUGGAGGGCUUGAGACCGGGAGAGGUGAGUGGAAUUCCCAGUGUAGCGGUGAAAUGCGUAGAUAUUGGGAGGAACACCAGUGGCGAAGGCGGCUCACUGGACCGGUACUGACGCUGAGGCGCGAAAGCGUGGGGAGCAAACAGGAUUAGAUACCCUGGUAGUCCACGCCGUAAACGAUGAGUGCUUGGUGUAGCGGGUAUCGACCCCUGCUGUGCCGAAGUC